rnacentral:tRNA from 1 species
GCAGCUAUGGCCUACUGGUUAGCGCUUCGGACUUGUAACCGGAGGGUUGCCAGUUCAAUCCCGACCAGCAGGCA